UCCAAACCAUAAGGAAUCUAGUGUGUACCUUGUGACCUUAGGGUGGCUUAAGGCAUCGUCAGGGAUGCUCUAGGACGACCUUUUGUGUUCAUGAGGGUUCAGCUUGCUUUUUAACUGGAUCAGUGAAAUAACCAUUAUAUAUAAAUAAACAAAUAUGUCCAUAUGAAUAAAUAAAGCUAGAGUGUGAAGCAUUGACCAAAGGUGAGAAUAUAUAACGAACAUAAAUACAUUAUGUUUGCAUUUAAAGCAUGGAAAUCCCUUAAGAAAGAAAAAACCUCAAACAUUUUGCGAUCUUGGCUGAGGAUGGUAGAUAAAACUGAAACAAUGGUCUCAAUGUUCAUUUUCUCAAGAACUACCCAAAUAAUUUAACUGUUACAUAAAUGAUCAAUAAAAUCAGUGGAGAAAGGCAAGAUUAAGUAGGCAUAAUCUCAAUCCUUUUGUAAUUUCUUGUGCCUUGUACUGAGAAUGGUGUUCCCACUGAUUACAGCAUUCAUCCUUGGUCGCAGGAUCUCUUUCUGCUUGUGUGUGAGGAGCAUGCAGAUCAAUAAUGGAUGCCUCCAAGCUGACACAGGCAUUCUUUCCUCGUCGUGAGGUCUGUGGUUCCCACCGUGUUAGGAGCAUGGAGACCAGUUUUUCUGCAUUAGGAGCAAAGAAAUCAAUAAUGGAUGCUCCCAAGCUUGUUGAAACAUAACUUUCCUGGACAUGAAGUCUGUGGCUUCCUGUGGGUGUUAGGACACGGAAACCAAUGUUGCACGCCCCUGACCUGGUUGAAGCAUCUGCCAUGCUCACGAGUCCCGCAGCUGCCAGAGUGUGUAGGAGCCACUCAGUCUACUGAGGCAUGAACACGCUUGACUGCACUGAACACGAGCCACACUCCAGUGGGUCCCAUGGCUCCCUGUGUGUAUAGGGGCACUCAAGCACC